rnacentral:rRNA from 1 species
GACAGAGGGUGCAAACGUUGCUCGGAAUCACUGGGCGUAAAGGGCGUGUAGGCGGGACUGUAAGUCGGGCGUGAAAGCCCCAGGCUCAACCUGGGAACUGCACUCGAAACUGCGUUUCUUGAGUAUCGGAGAGGAAAGCGGAAUACCUGGUGUAGAGGUGAAAUUCGUAGAUAUCAGGUGGAACACCAGUGGCGAAGGCGGCUUUCUGGACGAUUACUGACGCUGAGACGCGAAAGCGUGGGGAGCAAACAGG